GAGCGAGAGCGACAGUGAGAGCGAGAGACAGCGAACUCAUACCGCAGCGUGCCAGCAACAUUGCCAAAUAGACCGAGCCGACGACAGCCAACCCGAACUCGCACCCGAGCACAAGCGAGCAACAUACACUCCCCACACACUCAUACACUAGCACACACACACAGUUCUCAUGCUCGGCCGGGCUUCUUCUUGCUCUUUAAGAAACAACAAACAUUUUUACUAGGUCUGCAUGAGAUUUAGCAGCAUGCUCUCCACACAGCACGAUUAGAUUUUCAAUGAAAACUCAAUAGAAAUUAUGUUAGAAGUCUCGCAACAGGUGCGACAGAGAUGAAUAUAUCGUGUAGACAAACGUGUGUAGAGCAUGAGUGCGCCAGUGUUUGUGUGUGUGUCUGCUUGUUUCUUUCUGUUUAUGGGAUUAGAGAUGUUUCUGCUGUGGCUGGGGCCUGGGCAGCAUUCGUUUGAUGUGCUGCUGCUUGUGCUCCAUGCUCUGUGCUCCUCAUUGUCGAACGGAUAAUCCAAUUUGCGCACUCAAUUGAAAGCACUUCCCCGUUUCGAGUAUAAGAAACACACACAAUUACGCUCUGGCUCUCUAAUGGGCCGCUUCUCAUGCGAUUCGACACCACUUAGCGGUCGUUUCCCGCUUACAUUGUUUGUGCGUCGUAGAGUUUGUGAGUGUGGGAGAGAGGCAGGGAGAAUCGGGCGACAGGCGACGACGACGACGACUUGUUGCAUGUAAUAAUAAUAAUAACGAACGAAACGGUAUCUCGUAGCUGUUUAGUGGAUGAUUAAACUGAAUUUAAUCGUUUGCGAACAGGCGCACAGCAUUUGCCUGUAUGCGGCGGCGCUAUUUACGGGCGGGUUGCAGUUUCUUUUUCGAAAUUAAAACGAUUUCAAAUUGCCCACUCAGAAGCGUCGCACAGCCGACACAGUCAGGCACAGCUGUUAUCUCACUCGCACCACUGCAUCGACGCACAGCGACGGCGAGCUGUUGCUCGUUGCCAGUUGCCAAUUUGCUGCGGUGGUAGUUGGCUGCGUUGAUUGGACUGUUGUUCCAGGGGCGGGUAGGAGAGUGUCCAUGCACGGUCAUCAAAUGGUUGUUCACUUCAAAUAACUCGUCCGAAAUGCUAUAUAUCGUAGAAGUUAUACGCUUGUCUGCGCAUGCCUGUUCGCAACAGGGCAUUCAUGCUGUGUUAUUUGCAGCUCUCUCGCUUGCGCUCGUCACUUUCACAAUCGAGCAACUCACUUUAGCCUAUUACACUCGCCCGACUCUCACUCUACCGCACACUCUCUCUCUCUCACUCACUGUCUCGCUCUAUCUCUCCGCAACACAACAAAUUUGUGGCCCAUUAAUCGUCUUGCUAUUAUUUUGGCAAUCCUAAUAUGUAAUGCCAAUUCAUGGGGUGGGCGCCUGUUAACUAGCAGGCAACGAGCGCGCGAAAAUUAACAUGAUGAAAAUCGAUAGGCUGCCAAAUGGCAUCGCUCGCUGCGCCCAGUUCUGUGACUCUGUUAGCAUUUGAACGUUAAAAAUUCGAUUUUAUAGAAUGCAGCAACGCCCACAAAGGCCGCAGACGUAGACGCACGCAGACGACGCGUCGUUGUUCGAUGGCGUUUCAACAGCGUUGAACGCGUUCAGCUGCUAAUUGUACAGAGUGAGAGAGAGACCUGCCCCGCCGCCUGGCCCCACCCAGCCCGCUUGAGUUUUAGUAAUGGUAGGUAACAGCGGCGUCGAGUUCGAAUGUCUAUGUAGCUAACAGACCAGCAGCUACACAUUCUGCGCGCCUCUUAGUUAUUAUGUCAGAUCUGCAAUGCGCGACUAUAAAAUACGUAGUCGGCCUCUGAGAAUUUAUUGACUCGCCGCCCCCGGCACCGGGUGUGAGUUAUAAAAUUGAUGGCAUAAACUGUCAUGAAUUUAUAAAUAUGAGCGCGAGGGCCACACUGUUUGCAUGCGGUCCCGGACAUUUGCCAGCUGGCCAUUGCUGGGCGCCUGCUGAUAUUUUUCGCUUGUAUGUUGGUAACAUUGUCAUUUUGAGUGCUCGAGCCUCGGUGUCUCUCGCCGCAAGUGCUGCUGCUGUGACUCUGGCAACGCCGCUGUUGCCCAACCGCUCGCACCUGCAGCGCGCAUGUUAAGGCUGCUUGCUGGCUGCCUCUGUGUAUGUAAACACAACAUGUUGUUGACGCGCGCCACAUGCCGGCCAUUUUUGUUGUGUAUUGUGUGUGCACUCUGAACGAACGAACAUACAUAUUAUUUGUUGGAGGCAACCUCACAACCUCAACAUUCUUGCGGUCUCGUGGCAGCGCUGUCGGGCUACCAGAUUCGAUCGCUGGACGCCGCGCCACAACAUAUUCGCCCUGGCGCGCGCUCUGGCAACCCUGCUGCCGUCGCUCUGCCCGCUAUGCGCUUCACUCGGCCCGCCAAAAUACCGAAAGCAUUCCAAGCAUAACAAUGCCGUCUGCUUUACGCUGCUAGCCUGUUCGGGCAAGUAAGUGAAAUUUCAUGCAAAACCAUUCUUCGGAAAUUUCAAAUUCCCCACAUACUUUUGUGUCGCGCUGUGUACACAUACUGAUACAUAUAAAUAUGUACAUAUAUAUAUUUUAUUUUUUUUUUUUGGGACUGCGUAAUCGUGAUCAAGUUGUUUGAAUGGG